rnacentral:rRNA from 1 species
UUAUUUGAGAGUUUGAUCCUAGCUCAGGAUGAACGCUAGCGGUGUGCUUUAGGCAUGCAAGUCGAGCGGUCCGAUGUUACAUCGGACAGCGGCGGACGGGUGAGUAACGCGUAGGAAUUUACCUUUUGGUGGGAGAUAGCUCCGCGAAAGCGGGGGUAAUACCGCAUGAACCAAGCUUGCUUGGUAAAGCCCUUAACUGGGCGCCGAAAGAUAAGCCUGCGUCCUAUCAGCUUGUUGGUGAGGUAAUGGCUUACCAAGGCGAUGACGGGUAGGGGGUGUGAGAGCAUGGCCCCCCACAAGGGAACUGAGACACGGUCCCUACACCUACGGGUGGCAGCAACCGGGAAUAUUGCGCAAUGGGCGAAAGCCUGACGCAGCGACACCGCGUGGAGGAUGAAGGCCUUAGGGUUGUAAACUUCUUUUAUUUUAUUGUCGAAAUAGUUUGAAUAACCACCUGCUAACUACGUGCCAGAAGCCUCGGUGAUACGUAGGGUGGAAGCGUUAUCCGGAUUUAUUGGGCGUAAAGCGUUUCGUAGGCUCCCUAUUACAUCUUAUCUUAAAACCUAGGGCUCAACCCUAGAGAUGGAUAAGACAUGGGUAGGGUUGAGAUAAUUCGGGGGUGCUGGAAUUCCUGGUGUAGGAGUGAAAUCCGUUGAUAUCAGGAGGAACGUCAAGGGCGAAGGCAGGCACCUGGGAUUAUUCUGACGCUGAUGAACGAAAGCUAGGGGAGCAAAAGGGAUUGUAAUUGGUUCCAUCUUGCAGUAAUGCGAGAUUAAAAACCAACUAUAUCGGUGAACAUCCUUGUUUUUACGGUAUAUAUUCGUAUAUAUUGUAGCUAUGAGGACAAUACCGAGGGAAGUUAACUCUUUUUUAGAUAAAACAUCAUUUAGAUUAAAUAAAAUUCAAAAAAGCGUGUUAAUUGGCACUUUGCUUGGAGAUGGAGGAGUUAGAUAUAGAGGUAGAGAGUGUCGAUUGCAUAUAAAGCAUUCGAUAAAUCAACUAUCUUUUGUCAACUACAAGAGAAAAGUGUUUUGUAAUAUAACUUUGAUGAAGGUGAGAAAGUUUAGUCAAACUAUUGGCGAAAAAGACUACAGUUUUGCCGAGUUUGUAACUUUAACUCAUUCGGAGUUUACGAAAUAUUAUCACUUGUUUUAUCCAUCUUUAAAGAAGCAAGUUCCAAAUAAUAUUAACAGUUUAUUAAUUGAUCCAUUGAGUUUAGCUGUGUGGUUUAUGGACGAUGGUUCGGCAGAUUAUGCUGGAGCGUCGCUACAAACACAUAGUUUUACAAAAAAAGAUGUGGAGAGGUUGAUGGAGUGUAUAGUUAUGAAUUUUAAUAUUGAUGUUACUAAACGACUGAAUAAAGGAAAGUGGAUUAUAUAUUUUCCGAAAGCGAGUAUGGGUAGAUUACGAGAAGUAAUUGAAAAAUACAUGCUGAAGGAAUUUAUGUAUAAGCUAAAGCCAUAUUCGGUUCGCAAGAGUUUAACCCCGUAGAGACUGUACGUUGGAAUCCGAUGAGAAAUCGGAUUAUGAUACAGUCCGAUCUAUGCAGCAAUGUAUAGAAUUAGGUAGAAAUACCUGAUCGCUCUGGUUUUUAUAACCGAGAGUUAGUACUUCGACGUAACGUUGGAGGAAAGUAACAGAAUGUAGAGACCCCUGUAGUCCUAGCCGUAAACGAUCUUCGCUAGCUAUUUGACUUUUUUAAGUUGAGUGGCGUAGGUAACCCGUUAAGCGAAGCGCCUGGGAAGUACGGCCGCAAGGCUAAAACUCAAAGGAAUUGACGGGGGAGCGCACAACCGGUGGAUCAUGUGGUUUAAUUCGAUACGAACCGUAGGACCUUACCUGGAAUUGACAUGACACUGCAAAUCUGUAGAAAUAUAGAAAGCCUUAGAGGGUGUGUCACAGCUGCUGCAUGGCUGUCGUCAGCUCGUGCCGUGGGGUGUUUCCUUAAGUGGAUUAACGAGCGCAACCCUUAUCCUGUGUUAAAUAUCCACAGGAGACUGCUCGCGUAUUACGCGAGAGGAAGGAGAGGAUGACGUCAAGUCAGCAUGGUGCUUAUGUCCAGGGCAACACACAUGAUACAAUCCUUGGUACAACGAGUCGCGAAACCGCAAGGUGGAGCCAAUCUUUAAAGCCAAGGUCAGUUGGGAUUGAGGGCUGAAAUUCGCCCUCAUGAACCUGGAAUCGGUAGUAAUCGCGGGUCAGCUAUACCGCGGUGAAUACGUUCUCGCUCCUUGUACACACCGCCCGUCAAGCCAGCAAAGUUGGGGGUACCCGAAGGCCUCUUUUAGGGGACUAAGGUAAACUCAGCGAUGAGGACUAAGUCGUAACAAGGUAGCUGUUCUGGAAGGAGCAGCUGGAUCACCUCCUUU